rnacentral:misc_RNA from 1 species
GAAAAACUGCAUAGCUGCAAGCAGACGAACGGUCUCAAACAAAACCAAGCAUCACGAACUUGAAAGGAACCGAACAAUAAUCUGAGGCCAGUGAGCAAUCCUAACCAUGACCAAUUCAGAGCGAAAACUUCAGUUCAUCUAGCCUUUGAUCAAGCCCAAAAUAUCCAUGACAAAUCCAUCGCACCAAACAUGAAUUGACACAAACCAACCGAUCGCGCAUAUUGUACCCAACACAGCAAACCACAAUUAGCCAUAAACCAAUCGAAAGAGAUACUGUGUUCAGAAAACUAACACAACAGCAGAAGCAAAUCGCCG